GAUGAACGCUGGCGGCGUGCCUAAUACAUGCAAGUCGAGCGAACGGACGAGAAGCUUGCUUCUCUGAUGUUAGCGGCGGACGGGUGAGUAAACGUGGAUAACCUACCUAUAAGACUGGGAUAACUUCGGGAAACCGGAGCUAAUACCGGAUGAUAUUUUGAACCGCAUGGUUCAAAAGUGAAAGACGGUCUUGCUGUCACUUAUAGAUGGAUCCGCGCUGCAUUAGCUAGUUGGUAAGGUAACGGCUUACCAAGGCAACGAUGCAUAGCCGACCUGAGAGGGUGAUCGGCCACACUGGAACUGAGACACGGUCCAGACUCCUACGGGAGGCAGCAGUAGGGAAUCUUCCGCAAUGGGCGAAAGCCUGACGGAGCAACGCCGCGUGAGUGAUGAAGGUCUUCGGAUCGUAAAACUCUGUUAUUAGGGAAGAACAUAUGUGUAAGUAACUGUGCACAUCUUGACGGUACCUAAUCAGAAAGCCACGGCUAACUACGUG
rnacentral:rRNA from 1 species